UACGUAGGGUGCGAGCGUUGUCCGGAAUUAUUGGGCGUAAAGAGCUCGUAGGCGGUUUGUCGCGUCUGCUGUGAAAACUCGGGGCUUAACCCCGGGCCUGCAGUGGGUACGGGCAGACUAGAGUGCGGUAGGGGAGACUGGAAUUCCUGGUGUAGCGGUGAAAUGCGCAGAUAUCAGGAGGAACACCGGUGGCGAAGGCGGGUCUCUGGGCCGUAACUGACGCUGAGACUCGAAAGCGUGGGGAGCAAACAGG
rnacentral:rRNA from 1 species